rnacentral:rRNA from 1 species
GAUGAACGCUGGCGGCGCGCCUAACACAUGCAAGUCGAACGGACGAUGAAGAGCUUGCUUUUCAAAGUUAGUGGCGGACGGGUGAGUAACGCGUGGGUAACCUGCCUCAUACAGGGGAAUAGCAGCUGGAAACGGCUGAUAAAACCGCAUAAGCGCACAGUGCCGCAUGGCACAGUGUGAAAAACUCCGGUGGUAUGAGAUGGACCCGCGUCUGAUUAGCUUGUUGGCGGGGUAACGGCCCACCAAGGCGACGAUCAGUAGCCGGCCUGAGAGGGUGAUCGGCCACAUUGGGACUGAGACACGGCCCAAACUCCUACGGGAGGCAGCAGUGGGGAAUAUUGCACAAUGGGGGAAACCCUGAUGCAGCGACGCCGCGUGAAGGAAGAAGUAUCUCGGUAUGUAAACUUCUAUCAGCAGGGAAGAUAAUGACGGUACCUGACUAAGAAGCCCCGGCUAACUACGUGCCAGCAGCCGCGGUAAUACGUAGGGGGCAAGCGUUAUCCGGAUUUACUGGGUGUAAAGGGAGCGUAGGCGGCGGAGCAAGUCAGAAGUGAAAGCCCGGGGCUCAACCCCGGGACGGCUUUUGAAACUGCCCUGCUUGAUUUCAGGAGAGGUAAGCGGAAUUCCUAGUGUAGCGGUGAAAUGCGUAGAUAUUAGGAGGAACACCAGUGGCGAAGGCGGCUUACUGGACUG